rnacentral:lncRNA from 1 species
GAGAAUCCACUGCUCCUUUUAUCAGCUCCUUCCUCUCCCUACAAAAACUCACCAGUGGCGUAUUCUCCAUUCUUGAUACACCAACACCCAUACAACCAGAAUCAAAGCAAACCCAGAACACCCAAAAACCCAAUGAGAAAAACCCUAAAUUCGCUUCCUUGCUUGAACUAAAAAAACCUCCUUAUAUUAUUCAAUUUAACAGCAGAGUUCCCACAUUAGUAUUGGCUAGAUUAUUUGUUCAAUUUAGACAAAUGAUUACCCAAACAAGACUCUUAGAGAAUUGCAAGAAAAACCCAUGUAGGAGAGUAAAAGAAGAUACUGUAAAGAGACACAGAAAGGAGAGGAUACGAACAAUAAAUACACCGGAAAAUCCGGGAAUUUUCAUAGAUAAACGCAAAUAACGUGAAAAGAUUUUCAAAGUUAAACUCAUGAGCAAAUAAAGAGAUAAGUAUGAAACCCCCAUAAAGAUACAACCAGAUAUGCAAGCAUUGUAAUUCAAAUCUGACCGUUGAAAUCGCUGAUACUUGUCUAUGCAUGGAGGAGAGAGAGUGCGGGUAAUCAGUUGGCAUAAUGAAGGAAUCUAAAACUGAAGCUGAGACAAUUGGAUUUGAAUUCCUUCGGUUCUUGUUUUUUUCCAUGGUAGAGGGUUUUGGAUUUUUGUUUAGGCGCUAAAGAGUGUAGUAGUGAAAAAGGAGCCUUGGUUUUAGAGACUAAAACAAUGGUGGUUUUGAUCCUUCUUUUCCGUUUCGUUGCAGAGGAU